UGAGGGAUAUUGCGCAAUGGGGGAAACCCUGACGCAGCGACGCCGCGUGGGUGAUGAAGGCCUUCGGGUCGUAAAACCCUUUUGCCACUGACGAGGAAGGACGGUAGGUGGCGAAUAAGCCUCGGCUAACUACGUGCCAGCAGCCGCGGUAAAACGUAGGAGGCAAGCGUUAUCCGGAGUUACUGGGCGUAAAGCGCGCGCAGGCGGUUUUGUAAGACAGAUGUGAAAUCCCCGGGCUUAACCUGGGAACUGCGUUUGUGACUGCAAGGCUGGAGUACGGCAGAGGGGGGUGGAAUUCCACGUGUAGCAGUGAAAUGCGUAGAGAUGUGGAGGAACACCGAUGGCGAAGGCAGCCCCCUGGGCCUGUACUGACGCUCAUGCACGAAAGCGUGGGGAGCAAACA
rnacentral:rRNA from 1 species